CUUAGUUUCCUCACUUGUAACAUGGAAGUGGUGUUUUUGUGUGUGUGUGUUGUUUUUUUUACCGAGCAACAACUAACUAUUGGGUGAUGAUGGCUCUCUUUGUUUUAUAAGCCAGUGCUGAUAACUUGCAGCUGUUGCUAGUCCCUGACUACUUUACAAUCCUUUGAUGGUUCCCUUAAACCUGAUCACACCCUGGUGGCGGGAAUAGCACCAGUUGUAUGACCGUUGGGGUCAGAUCAAACCUGGGUUCAACAACCUCGGUACUUGGGUUCUGGCUAGGAAAUAAUUCAGAGUCCAGGACCCUCAAAUGGCCAAGGAGAUCGAGCUGGUCCUGAUGUCAGCUGAUUUUUUGUGGAUCCUGCAACCAACCGAAGGAAGUACGUGCCCUUGACCAGACUUGAACCUGGGACCCUUCAGUCCGAGGGGUGACACUCCAACCAUUGAGCCAAACCAGCUAGGGCCAGCUGUGGCUGAUUUUAUUGUUUAUCUGGGCCUGGAGCUGAAAUACAACUGAGGACAAUUGAGCAUUUCAUUUUAUUUAUGGACUGAUGUUUUCUGUUUUGCCUGUAUCCCAACUGGACUAUGAGCUCUUUGAAGGCAGACCCCUUGGGGCACAACCUAAUGUGCUGGGCACCAAGACAGAUACCACAAAUUCCUUCAUUAUCAUGUUAAUUGUUCCUGCACCCACCUAAGUAUGUGUCUAUUAUUUUACUUUUUAUCCAAUCCCAGGGGUCCCCUCCUCCCACUUUGCUUUCUCCCGCCUCUCUAGUCUAACACCAAUGGAUUUCAUGUAACCCACCUAGGUCCCUUUCCUUUGAUUGCAAUGUAUAAAUACAGAUGAAACCCACCAUUCUCCAGAGCAUUAUCUCAAUUCCUUGAGGUUCUGCUUCCCGGCAUAUGUUGACAGUUUGGCUCAAAUAAACUCACAAAAAUUCUUUAAAAAAAAAAAUAUUUUAUUGAUUUUUAGAGAGGAAGAGAGGGAUAGAAACAUCAAUGAUGAGAAUCAUUGAUUGGCUGCCUCUUGCACGCCCCCUACUGGGGAUUAAGCCCGCAACCCAGGCAUGUGCCCUUGGCCAGAAUUGAACCUGGGACCUUUCAGUCCGAAGACUGAUGCUCUAUCCAUUGAGCCAAACCAGCUAGGGCACAAAAUUUUUUUACAGGUUUCAAUGGUUAACACUAUAAAUUUUACGUUAACACUAUAAA